GUGCCAGCAGCCGCGGUAAUACGUAGGGCGCAAGCGUUAUCCGGAAUUAUUGGGCGUAAAGAGCUUGUAGGCGGUUCGUCGCGUCUGGUGUGAAAGCCCAUCGCUUAACGGUGGGUCUGCGCCGGGUACGGGCGGGCUAGAGUGCAGUAGGGGAAACUGGAAUUCUCGGUGUAACGGUGGAAUGUGUAGAUAUCGGGAAGAACACCAAUGGCGAAGGCAGGUUUCUGGGCUGUUACUGACGCUGAGAAGCGAAAGCGUGGGGAGCGAACAGGAUUAGAUACCCUGGUAGUCC
rnacentral:rRNA from 1 species